UACGUAGGGUGCGAUCGUUAAUCGGAAUUACUGGGCGUAAAGCGUGCGCAGGCGGUUUUGUAAGCCAGAUGUGAAAGCCCCGGGCUUAACCUGGGAAUGGCAUUUGGGACUGCAAGGCUGGAGUGUGGCAGAGGAGACUGGAAUUCCUGGUGUAGCAGUGAAAUGCGUAGAUAUCAGGAGGAACACCGAUGGCGAAGGCAGGUCUCUGGGCUGACACUGACGCUCAUGCACGAAAGCGUGGGGAGCAAACAGG
rnacentral:rRNA from 1 species